UUGAACGCUGGCGGCAUGCUUUACACAUGCAAGUCGAACGGCAGCGGGGGCUUCGGCCUGCCGGCGAGUGGCGAACGGGUGAGUAAUGCAUCGGAACGUGCCCAGUCAUGGGGGAUAACUACGCGAAAGCGUAGCUAAUACCGCAUACGCCCUGAGGGGGAAAGCGGGGGAUCGCAAGACCUCGCGUGAUUGGAGCGGCCGAUGUCGGAUUAGCUAGUUGGUGGGGUAAAGGCCUACCAAGGCGACGAUCCGUAGCGGGUCUGAGAGGAUGAUCCGCCACACUGGGACUGAGACACGGCCCAGACUCCUACGGGAGGCAGCAGUGGGGAAUUUUGGACAAUGGGGGCAACCCUGAUCCAGCCAUGCCGCGUGAGUGAAGAAGGCCUUCGGGUUGUAAACUGCCUUUGUACGGAGCGAAAAGGCUCUCUCUAAUACAGGGGGCUCAUGACGGUACCGUAAGAAUAAGCACCGGCUAACUACGU
rnacentral:rRNA from 1 species